rnacentral:lncRNA from 1 species
UGGCAAUAUCCCAAGUGUUCGUUUGUUGUUUGUAAUUAGAUUUUUUUAUUUUUUUAUUGUUAAUUUUCUGUUUAAAUUUUCAUUUUGCCAUUUAUGAUGGUAGAGUUAAAAAAAGUAAACAAGAAAUAACAAGGCAGAAUUUACACUAUUUCUUAUUGGAAACAAGAUGGAACUGAUAUUGAACUGUCAAAAGAUUAAAAACUCCAGCUAGUUGCUGUUGUUAUAUCAGGGAAGUUUAAAUUUUCUUAAUUGGAAUAUGAAAUUAAUGUAAAAAUGCUCACAGUAUAGCAAGUUUUGUAACCAGCAAAAUAACUGCCACAAAAUUAUGGCUUGCAAAUAGGUUUUGCAAGUUUUGUGGCUUGAAAAUAAGUACAACAAGUUUUUUGACUAGCAAAUAAGUACCACAAGUUUUGUUGCUUGCAUAUAAGGUACAGCAAGUUUUGUGGCUUGCAAAGAGGAACCACAAGUUUUGUGGCUUGCAAAUAUAGUACAGCAAGUUUUGUGGCUUACAAAUAGGUAUUGGAAGUUUUGUGGCUUGCAAAUAGGUACUGCAAAUUUUGUGACUUGCAAAAUAAGUAUCACAAGUUUUGUUGCUUGCAAAUAAGGUACAGUAAGUUUUGUGGCUUUCAAGUAGGUACCGCAAGUUUUGUGGCUUGCAAAUUGAUAGUUGGCUCUGGCUUACCUUUACGUUGUGUCUAAUGUUAAAAAUUAUUCAUUUUGUUUCGUUAAUGUAAUUUAAAAAUUAAAUUAUUUACUAGAAGCCUAGACAAGAAAUAAUUACAUUUUUUAUUUCAAGAAAAUUUUUUUUUUUUUUGUGUGUUUUCUUCUCAAGUUGGAGUGGUUAAUCUGUUCCUUUACAUGAUAAUGUAUACUCAGAUGCAUCUUGUAAUGUGGUAAAAUAGUUUUUUAUUCAAAUUUAUUUUUCUUUAAAAAAACAUUUUAAGACUUCCUUGUUAAAUUGUAAUUAAAAAUUUUUUAUUUGGUUCCGACAGAGGAGAAGGAUGGCUUGCUCCUCUUUUUAUAAAAAUAAAUUAUACACCUCUAGGUGUAUAAAUUGCCUUAUUGAAAGGGGGUGCAUAAAGGCAAUUUAUACAUACUAUACUACACUUUUAUUUCAAAAGGCUUGUUGUUUUCGUGUAUUUUUUUUUAGGUUGGAGUGUGUAAUCCGUCUUUUUUCAUGACAAAAUGGUUAUUCUGAUGCAUUUUAUUGUUGGUGACAUGGCACAUGUAUUAAAGUCUUCUGUCACAGUUGACUCAGCAAGAAUGAAGACAUUGAUACACUUUUGCAUUAAGGAAUACACAAGUUGGCAGUUCCUCACCCACUGUCACCCAAAUACAGGUAUAAGAAAUCCUUAUCUGUACGUAACAGACGAUGGAGAAGAAGUGAUUAUUAUGUGUGGCAAAAGAUUAUUUUAUGAAAUUUUUCAUAAAAUAAUAGUACACUUUUUUUGGACAUAGGAGGAGUAUUGCCGCUACAAGCAUGAACAAUAAUAAAACAUUCCAAAGAAUAAUUUGUUAUUUCAACGAUUAGAUUUGUUGUUUAAAUGUAUAAAUGCUUGUUGAAUAUUCUUAUUAUAU